CCCCUGGCUAUUCUCUUUCUGCACUGCUCCAGGGACACCCCCAAAAGAACAUCCGUCCUUCUCUGCUGAAUCCCGCCGAGAACUGAUGCUUUCUCCUUCUUUUCCAACCUCAUCACAACCAACAAAGUACAAGGCUUAUGAAAAGGUUGUCCUGAGAUAACUGCAAAAACCACAUACAGAUACACAGUACAUACAGAGAUCCUGCCAGCCAACUAGAAUAAUAAUAUGAAGAUUUGCGAGUGUGUGUUCCUGUGAGGUCAUCUACAGCAAAAUAAAAUAGAGUACUUAGUCAAUC